rnacentral:rRNA from 1 species
AUUGAACGCUGGCGGCAGGCCUAACACAUGCAAGUCGAGCGGACGAACGGAACGUGCUCCUCUAUGCAGCUGGCGACGGGCGGGUGAGUCAUACGUAUAUACCCUACAUUUGUGGAUAGGGUCCGUACGCGGGCCCUAAUACCGUAUCCGUCCAUAUGUAGAACGGGAGGGAUCAUCGGACCUCACGCUAUUAGCUGACCCUACGAGGGGUUAGCUAGGUGGGUGGGUAAAGGCCUACCAAGGCGACGAUCCAAAGCCGGGCUGCGAGGCUGACCAGCCACACUGGAACCGAGACACGGUCCAGACCCCUACGGGAGGCAGCAGUAGGGAAUUUUUGGCAAUGGGCGGAAGCCUGAACCAGCCAAGCCGCGGGGUGGAAGAAGGGCUUUGGGUUUGAAAACCCUUUUAUGUGGGAAGAAAAGGUAGUAAGUUAAUCCCUCGCUGUUUUGCGGUACCCAACAAAAAAGCCACGGCCAAAUUCGGU